rnacentral:rRNA from 1 species
GACGAACCGUGCGAACGUUGUUCGGAUUCACUGGGCUUAAAGGGCGCGUAGGCGGACGGUCAAGUCAGGGGUGAAAUCUUUCAGCUUAACUGGAAAAGUGCCUCCGAUACUGAUCGCCUCGAGGGAGGUAGGGGCAUGUGGAACUUCCGGUGGAGCGGUGAAAUGCGUAGAUAUCGGAAGGAACGCCGGUGGCGAGAGCGACGUGCUGGACCUCUUCUGACGCUGAGGCGCGAAAGCUAGGGGAGCAAACGGG